GACGAACGCUGGCGGCGUGCUUAACACAUGCAAGUCGAACGGUAAGGCCCUUCGGGGUACACGAGUGGCGAACGGGUGAGUAACACGUGGGUGAUUUGCCCUGCACUUUGGGAUAAGCCUGGGAAACUGGGGCUAAUACCGGGUAGGUCCAUGCGCUUCACGGUGUGUGGUGGAAAGAUUUUGCGGUGUGGGAUGGGCCCGCGGCCUAUCAGCUUGUUGGUGGGGUAAUGGCCUACCAAGGCGACGACGGGUGGCCGGCCUGAGAGGGUGACCGGCCACACUGGGACUGAGAUACGGCCCAGACUCCUACGGGAGGCAGCAGUGGGGAAUAUUGCACAAUGGGCGCAAGCCUGAUGCAGCGACGCCGCGUGAGGGAUGACGGCCUUCGGGUUGUAAACCUCUUUCAGUAGGGACGAAGCGCAAGUGACGGUACCUACAGAAGAAGGACCGGCCAACUACGUGCCAGCAGCCGCAGUAA
rnacentral:rRNA from 1 species